rnacentral:rRNA from 1 species
GAUGAACGCUGGCGGCGUGCUUAACACAUGCAAGUCGAACGAUGAAGCCCAGCUUGCUGGGUGGAUUAGUGGCGAACGGGUGAGUAACACGUGAGUAACCUGCCCUUGACUCUGGGAUAAGCCUGGGAAACUGGGUCUAAUACUGGAUAUGACUUCUCAUCGCAUGGUGGGGGGUGGAAAGAUUUAUUGGUCUUGGAUGGACUCGCGGCCUAUCAGCUUGUUGGUGAGGUAAUGGCUCACCAAGGCGACGACGGGUAGCCGGCCUGAGAGGGUGACCGGCCACACUGGGACUGAGACACGGCCCAGACUCCUACGGGAGGCAGCAGUGGGGAAUAUUGCACAAUGGGCGCAAGCCUGAUGCAGCGACGCCGCGUGAGGGAUGACGGCCUUCGGGUUGUAAACCUCUUUCAGUAGGGAAGAAGCGGGAGUGACGGUACCUGCAGAAGAAGCGCCGGCUAACUACGUG